AGCUCGAGUUUCUCUUCAUUAUCGCAUAAACCUUUCGCCUUUUACUAAAGAUUUCCGUGGAGGGGAACUUCUUGCGAGUGCCCUGUGUAUUUGGAGGCUCUGAUCACAGCAGAGCU
rnacentral:snRNA from 1 species